GACGAACGCUGGCGGCGUGCUUAACACAUGCAAGUCGAACGGAAAGGCCCUGCUUUUGUGGGGUGCUCGAGUGGCGAACGGGUGAGUAACACGUGAGUAACCUGCCCUUGACUUUGGGAUAACUUCAGGAAACUGGGGCUAAUACCGGAUAGGAGCUCCUGCUGCAUGGUGGGGGUUGGAAAGUUUCGGCGGUUGGGGAUGGACUCGCGGCUUAUCAGCUUGUUGGUGGGGUAGUGGCUUACCAAGGCUUUGACGGGUAGCCGGCCUGAGAGGGUGACCGGCCACAUUGGGACUGAGAUACGGCCCAGACUCCUACGGGAGGCAGCAGUGGGGAAUAUUGCACAAUGGGCGGAAGCCUGAUGCAGCAACGCCGCGUGCGGGAUGACGGCCUUCGGGUUGUAAACCGCUUUCGCCUGUGACGAAGCGUGAGUGACGGUAAUGGGUAAAGAAGCACCGGCUAACUACGUGCCAGCAGCCGCGGUGAUACGUAGGGUGCGAGCGUUGUCCGGAUUUAUUGGGCGUAAAGGGCUCGUAGGUGGUUGAUCGCGUCGGAAGUGUAAUCUUGGGGCUUAACCCUGAGCGUGCUUUCGAUACGGGUUGACUUGAGGAAGGUAGGGGAGAAUGGAAUUCCUGGUGGAGCGGUGGAAUGCGCAGAUAUCAGGAGGAACACCAGUGGCGAAGGCGGUUCUCUGGGCCUUUCCUGACGCUGAGGAGCGAAAGCGUGGGGAGCGAACAGGCUUAGAUACCCUGGUAGUCCACGCUGUAAACGGUGGGUACUAGGUGUGGGGUCCAUUCCACGGGUUCCGUGCCGUAGCUAACGCUUUAAGUACCCCGCCUGGGGAGUACGGCCGCAAGGCUAAAACUCAAAGGAAUUGACGGGGCCCCGCACAAGCGGCGGAGCAUGCGGAUUAAUUCGAUGCAACGCGUAGAACCUUACCUGGGUUUGACAUGGAUCGGGAGUGCUCAGAGAUGGGUGUGCCUCUUUUGGGGUCGGUUCACAGGUGGUGCAUGGCUGUCGUCAGCUCAUGUCGUGAGAUGUUGGGUUAAGUCCCGCAACGAGCGCAACCCUUGUUCACUGUUGCCAGCACGUUAUGGUGGGGACUCAGUGGAGACCGCCGGGGUCAACUCGGAGGAAGGUGGGGAUGACGUCAAGUCAUCAUGCCCCUUAUGUCCAGGGCUUCACGCAUGCUACAAUGGCUGGUACAGAGAGUGGCGAGCCUGUGAGGGUGAGCGAAUCUCGGAAAGCCGGUCUCAGUUCGGAUUGGGGUCUGCAACUCGACCUCAUGAAGUCGGAGUCGCUAGUAAUCGCAGAUCAGCAACGCUGCGGUGAAUACGUUCCCGGG
rnacentral:rRNA from 1 species